AGCUUUGAUGGGGGUGAUGGAGCUUGGAGUGGUGGAGCUGAGAUUGGAGGUGGUGGAGCUCAGGUUGGGGAUGCUGGGACUCGCCUGGGGAGCACUGGAGCUCCGGUUGGAGUGGGUGAGCUCGGACUGGGGGCUCUGGAGCUCCGCACCCCAGUUCUUCCCCCUCGCCGUGCCCCCCCCAGCCCGCU